UGGUGAACUGGUUAAAAAAAACGAAAUAAUUUCCGUCCAACGAACUUUCUCAAACGUAUCCGCUCCCGCGAUUCCGCUUGCAUUUUUCGAUCGACUUGCCAUUUUAAGUUUAGGAAUCUGCUAGGAAAGAAGAGUUUUAUCUGACGAGAUAUAUUUCAUUGCUUGAAUGAAUUUCGGCUCAAUGGUUGGCCCGGGCCAGAUUGAAUGGAUGUAGGCUUUUGCCCUCUUGUGAUUUCGAUGGGAUUAUUGGUUUCGCCAGUUUACAUUAGACUGGGCCCAAUCGAGUAGACAAGAUGAGAAGACCGCAACUCUUGCUUUCAGUCCGAAGCUGUACGAAUCCUCUGAAAUGUUUUUACCGGCCGUGCCGUUCGAGUACCCUCAGGAUCUCGCUUUGAGACCUGAGCAAAUUGUGAUUGAAUGUGUACCCUCAGGCUCUCCGAGACCUGAGAAAAAAGUUAUUGAUGUACUCUCAGGACCUCUGGUAGAGACCUGAGCAAAAUUCGUAGUUUCUCUCACUGUUUACAGGAGCAAAUGGACUAUAAUAAAUGAAUUUUUGG